UCCCGUCCGCGCGUCCUCUAAAAUAAACCUUUCCUUCGGCUCACCUUUGCUUCUGUAUCUUUGUAGCGUCGCCUCAAAGUUCAGGAAAACAGAUUGGAAAAGUCAGACUCAAGUCAAGUCAUCCCAUUACGAUGAAUGAUGCAUGGAGACUAACGAUGGUACUCAAGGAUCGACACUGAUCAACAGGCAGCAUGUAACUCCGAAGACACGUGAUACAUGAAUAAUGGCGCUAUCAAUCGAUAACCGAAAUCAAUAAA